rnacentral:tRNA from 1 species
GCGGCUGUAGUUCAGCUGGUUAGAGCACAGGAUUGUGAUUCCUGGUGUCGGGGGUUCGAGUCCCCUCAGCCGCCCCA